UACAGAGGGGGCAAGCGUUAUUCGGAAUUAUUGGGCGUAAAGGGCGCGUAGGCGGCUUUGCAAGUGGCGGGUGAAAUCCCUCGGCUUAACCGAGGAACUGCCUGUCAAACUGCAUGGCUUGAGACCAGGAGAGGUGAGUGGAAUUCCCAGUGUAGCGGUGAAAUGCGUAGAUAUUGGGAGGAACACCAGUGGCGAAGGCGGCUCACUGGACUGGUACUGACGCUGAUGCGCGAGAGCGUGGGGAGCAAACAGG
rnacentral:rRNA from 1 species